UUACUUAGUACCUCUUUGUCUGCCUUGCGCAGGCCUGGGCCUGUGCAAUGCUUUGGAUUCACUGUGGUCUAGUAUUGCACUCCCCCCGGCCUUUGGAAGGCAGAUACAUGCAACGUGCUUCAUA
rnacentral:pre_miRNA from 8 species